rnacentral:rRNA from 1 species
CGAACUGUGCGAACGUUAUUCGGAAUCACUGGGCUUAAAGGGUGCGUAGGCGGUUAUCUAAGUCAGGUGUGAAAUCUCUCGGCUCAACCGGGAAACUGCGCUUGAACUGGGUGACUGGAGGAAUGCAGGGGUGUGUGGAACUUCCGGUGGAGCGGUGAAAUGUGUAGAUAUCGGAAGGAACGCCAGCAGCGAAAGCGGCACACUGGGCAUUUACUGACGCUGAGGCACGAAAGCUGGGGGAGUGAACGGGAUUAGAUACCCCGGUAAUCCUAGCCGUAAACACUGAGCACUGGAGGAGGGAGGUUUCGGCCUUCUUUCUCGUAGCGAAAGCGUUAAGUGCUCCGCCUGGGGAGUAUGGUCGCAAGGCUG